rnacentral:lncRNA from 1 species
AAACCCUAAAUUUAUAAAUAAUAAAAUCCGAAAUCUGAAAUGAAAGAAGGAAAAUGUGCUGCUUCAACCCAAAUACGAAAAUCUCAUCUCUAUAUUUGCCCAAUGUAACUCAAGUAACCUGCACCACUUCUAGAUCUCUCUUUCACCUUCGUUUCUUUUUUUUUUCUUUCACGAAGCCAUGGACUAUCAUGUUAAUUUGACAAGAGUGAAUGAGACUGUAAGUUUCUUUGUUUUUCUUUCACAAAAUUGAUUGGAGUGAAGGAGACAUAUCUAUUUGUUUCAUGGGUUGUCGUGUUUAUGUGUUAUGUUUUGAUUUAAACCCAUAUUUGGUUAAUGAUGGUAAUAAACAUGGAUCUACCAAUAAUGAUGUUUGGUGGCGAUGAUGAUGAUGGUGGUGGUGAACGAUGGUGUUGGUAUGAUGAAGGAGGGAUGAUGAAUUGUAAAUGGAUCUACCUACCAUGGUGUUUGAUUUUAGGGAUGAUAAUGAACUAUUGAGAAGAUGGAUUAUAAAUGGAUGAAGAUAUGAAGGAAUGUUAACAAUUUUGGGUUUUGAUAUACCGUUGAGGUUUAUUUUAUUUUUUUAAUUAUGUACAUCUAUAUUUUUAAUUGUUUUCUAUCAUUUAAUUGAUUUAUAUGUAUUUUUGAAUAAUAAGAUAAUUGUUUUUCCAUGUAUGAUUUGCCACGUAAGCGUGUUUUUGGACACCUCAUCUGAAAAUCUGACACAUCAACAUUUUUUGAAGGAAAAUUUGGGGUUAGGAUUAAAACUGCAAAAAAAAAAAAAACAAUUGAAAGUGAUGCAAUAGUAAACUUAAUGAAAGUGAGAGUAGUAGAGUCGUCCGGCCAAGUAGUAGAGUCGUGUUGAGCCACCUAGGAUAGAGUGUUAACUCUAAUGUUGUUCUUGUUGAUUGUUCUGAGUUGUUGUUUCUUAUGUAGAACCUUGAGAUGACUGGUAAUAGUGAUG